GAGCCUUAGUGGCGCACGGGUGCGUAACGCGUGGGAAUCUGCCCUUGGGUUCGGAAUAACAGUGAGAAAUUACUGCUAAUACCGGAUGAUGACUUCGGUCCAAAGAUUUAUCGCCCAAGGAUGAGCCCGCGUAAGAUUAGCUAGUUGGUGAGGUAAAGGCUCACCAAGGCGACGAUCUUUAGCUGGUCUGAGAGGAUGAUCAGCCACACUGGGACUGAGACACGGCCCAGACUCCUACGGGAGGCAGCAGUGGGGAAUAUUGGACAAUGGGCGAAAGCCUGAUCCAGCAAUGCCGCGUGAGUGAUGAAGGCCUUAGGGUUGUAAAGCUCUUUUACCAGGGAUGAUAAUGACAGUACCUGGAGAAUAAGCUCCGGCUAACUCCGUGCCAGCAGCCGCGGUAAUACGGAGGGAGCUAGCGUUGUUCGGAAUUACUGGGCGUAAAGCGCACGUAGGCGGCUAUUCAAGUCAGAGGUGAAAGCCCGGGGCUCAACCCCGGAACUGCCUUUGAAACUAGAUAGCUUGAAUCUUGGAGAGGCGAGUGGAAUUCCGAGUGUAGAGGUGAAAUUCGUAGAUAUUCGGAAGAACACCAGUGGCGAAGGCG
rnacentral:rRNA from 1 species